CUGCCCAUCACCAGAGUCAGGAGAACUACGAAACUCUCCUCUGGGCUGCUAUCUGUCCUCUCCUCUCAGAGGGCUGAGGUGGAGGCCAUGUGGCACCACCAUGACUACUCUUUGCAUAAGGAUUUUCUUUCUGCUCUCUGAACACCAGCUUUCCUUUCUUAACCCGAGCCUGUUUCUCUUAUGCUUCUUUCAGAGACAAUGAAUAAUCAGUCCACUUCCUUCUUAUAAAAUCCCUCUGUAGAGUAAUCUACUUACCUCCUAAUGGGUGCUUUCCAGGCUAAAUAGCCUAUAUCUUUCUAAUCUCACAUCCCUGGACCUACUUUCUGGACAAAUAAGCAAACUGGCACCUCUAGUAGCUAUGGCUGAGGAAGCAGGAGCAGAGCAAGAUGAUCAGAGUCAUGAUGAUCCUGCCCCCAACCUCACUUCAGCCACACCUGACUGACUUCACUUAAUAGAACCCAGAACAUAGCUUUGGUGAUGGAAUAUGUGGAAGGAGGACCAACAAGACUCUGUAGCGAGUAGUGAUCUGUCUCCAAGUGGAUCUGUCUAGUUCUGGAGACAUCUUUCAUAGAUACUUUCAUAGGCAACUCAAGCAGCUGUGGACUUGGGCUUUGGCACACACAGUGGUCUGUGGGAAGCAUUACUAUAGUACCCAGGACUGUGGAAACCAUGACAUGAGGCAUGCAUUAUGGACCUGAGACAUCCACCCUCCUACCUGUUGGUUAAAUUACUUGCUACCCCAGAGAAAACCGCACUCCCUCCCACAAAGAACCUUGUUCUUCAUUAAUACAGACCCAGGUGCCAUAUUGAGAGUUGGAGAAGAGACAUGUUUGUUCUACACAGUGGUGUCCAAUAAAUC